rnacentral:rRNA from 1 species
CCUGCGGGAGGCAGCAGUGGGGAAUAUUGGACAAUGGGGGGAACCCUGAUCCAGCCAUGCCGCGUGUGUGAAGAAGGCCCUCGGGUUGUAAAGCACUUUCAGUGAGGAAGAACGCCUGGUGGUUAAUACCCAUCAGGAAAGACAUCACUCACAGAAGAAGCACCGGCUAACUCCGUGCCAGCAGCCGCGGUAAUACGGAGGGUGCGAGCGUUAAUCGGAAUUACUGGGCGUAAAGCGCGCGUAGGUGGCUUGAUAAGCCGGUUGUGAAAGCCCCGGGCUCAACCUGGGAACGGCAUCCGGAACUGUCAAGCUAGAGUGCAGGAGAGGAAGGUAGAAUUCCCGGUGUAGCGGUGAAAUGCGUAGAGAUCGGGAGGAAUACCAGUGGCGAAGGCGGCCUUCUGGACUGACACUGACACUGAGGUGCGAAAGCGUGGGUAGCAAACAGGAUUAGAUACCCCAGUAGUC